GGUAAGAUGGCCGAGCGGUCUAAGGCGCCAGGUUAAGGUUACCUUAACGAGUAAAUUCCUGGUCCAGGUAACUGGGCGUGAGUUCGAAUCUCACUCUUAUCA
rnacentral:tRNA from 1 species